rnacentral:rRNA from 1 species
UACGAAGGGGGCUAGCGUUGCUCGGAAUUACUGGGCGUAAAGCGCACGUAGGCGGUUUCUUAAGUCGGUGGUGAAAUCCUGGAGCUCAACUCCAGAACUGCCUUCGAUACUGGGAAACUUGAGUCCGGGAGAGGUGAGUGGAACUGCGAGUGUAGAGGUGAAAUUCGUAGAUAUUCGCAAGAACACCAGUGGCGAAGGCGGCUCACUGGCCCGGUACUGACGCUGAGGUGCGAAAGCGUGGGGAGCAAACAGG